rnacentral:rRNA from 1 species
UACAGAGGUCUCAAGCGUUGUUCGGAUUCAUUGGGCGUAAAGGGUGCGUAGGCGGCGCGGUAAGUCGGGUGUGAAAUCUCGGAGCUUAACUCCGAAACUGCAUUCGAUACUGCCGUGCUUGAGGACUGGAGAGGAGACUGGAAUUUACGGUGUAGCGGUGAAAUGCGUAGAUAUCGUAAGGGAGACCAGUGGCGAAGGCGGGUCUCUGGACAGUUACCGACGCUGAUGCACGAAGGCCAGGGGAGCAAACGGG